AUUGACCGCUGGCGGCAGGCCUAACACAUGCAAGUCGAACGAGCGGCGGACGGGUGAGUAAUGUAUGGGGACUGCCCGAUAGAGGGGGAUAACUACUGGAAACGGUGGCUAAUACCGCAUAAUGUAGGAUAACCCUUAUGGGAUUAGCUAGUAGGUAUGGUAAUGGCUUACCUAGGCGAAUAACCCUAGCUGGUCUGAGCGGAUGAUCAGCCACACUGGGACUGAGACACGGCCCAGACUCCGACGGAGGCAGCAGUGGGGAAUAGUGCAAAAUGGGCGCAAGCCUGAUGCAGCCAUGCCGCGUGUAUGAAGAAGGCCCUAGGGUUGUAAAGUACUUUCAGUCGGGAGGCGUUACCGACAGAAGAAGCACCGGCUAACUCCGUGCCAGCAGCCGCGGUAAUAC
rnacentral:rRNA from 1 species